CCUCCCCCUUGCUGUUGCCACAUUAGGCAGGCAGCCGAAGCAGCCAGGACAGGGUGACGGGAGAGGGAUGGCAGAGCCUGGAAGAGGGCUUGAGAAGGGGCCCAGCGUCGCAGCUGACGGCACCGCUGCUGCCUCUCUUUGCUGCCACAUUGGAGCCACACAAACACCAGUGCUCGAAGAGCUUCUUUUUUGCCACCCGUGACUUCCGUCCAGAGAGAGGAAAAUGGUCUUAGGGUGGUGCAGGAUUCCUGGGUUGCAUUUAGUUCUGACUGGAACACAGAAGGAACACAGCCAAGGCAGGAGCGCUGGAGAAACACUGUUGGCCAAGAGGACAUUUUUCUUCGUUUGAGACAGGGUUUCUCUGUGCAGCCCUGUCUGACCUGAAACUCACUCUGUAGACCAGGCUGGCCUCACAGAGAUCAGCCUCUGCUGGGAUUAAAGGAGCUAGGCUGGCCUUGGAUUUAUUAUGCAGCUGAAGAUGGCCUUGAACUCCUGAUCUUUCUGCCUGUAGAUUCCUUAGACCCUCCCGGAUCCCUUACCCUGCCCUCUGACGCAUCACUAAAGAUGAAGUCUACCACAGAAAUGGCCCUUCCUCACAGGAUCCUGUUAUUGUAGUAAUACCUAGAGAGUUGAGAGUCGGCCUGUGAGGAAGGAAGAGCCUCGCAGUCUCCCCAUGAGUUACUGGAGAACACCCGCAGCCCUCCUACAGGGAGAGCAUUUCCCAAGCUCUGCAAUGGUGGGAGGCAGCCUGAGUGCCGGGAACCACAGCCCUUUCCUUGAACUCUGCCUCUCCUGCUGCUGGCCACCUCUCCUCACCUGAGGGCCCGGCUCAGCUUGUCAUAGUUCAUCUGU